rnacentral:rRNA from 1 species
GAUGAACGCUAGCGGCAGGCUUAAUACAUGCAAGUCGUGGGGCAGCAUGAAGUAGCAAUACUUUGAUGGCGACCGGCAAACGGGUACGGAACACGUACACAACCUUCCUUUUAGUGGGGAAUAGCCCAGAGAAAUUUGGAUUAAUACCCCGUAACAUAGCGAUGUGGCAUCACAUUGCUAUUAUAGCUUCGGCGCUAGAUGAUGGGUGUGCGUAUGAUUAGAUAGUUGGCGAGGUAACGGCUCACCAAGUCUACGAUCAUUAGCUGAUGUGAGAGCAUGAUCAGCCACACGGGCACUGAGACACGGGCCCGACUCCUACGGGAGGCAGCAGUAAGGAAUAUUGGUCAAUGGACGAAAGUCUGAACCAGCCAUGCCGCGUGAAGGAUUAAGGUCCUCUGGAUUGUAAACUUCUUUUAUAUGGGACGAAAAAAGGUCUUUCUAGAUCACUUGACGGUACCAUAUGAAUAAGCACCGGCUAACUCCGUGCCAGCCGCCGCCGUAAUAC